GACUGAAGGAGAAGUUGGACCAGAGGCGGGUGACAACUGCGGCUGGAAGAACCCAGGGAAGAGUUUGGAAAUGGAGAGGAAUUUGCCAGCAGCCCACAUCUGGUUUGGUCUCAAGCAAGCAGGCAGCGAUUCUGACUUUUUGAAAUGGCAGACACUCCAAGGGCCUCUUGCUCACGGGCACUUUGGGCUGUAGGGUCGGAGAAACCCUGGUUUGCUCCAGACCGGGGGCUUGGUCAGGCUGACCAUCCCUGCAGGCGGUGUGCUGACAGGCUGGGGGCGGGAGGAAAGCCCAGACUCCCCACUUUUUCCAUUCACGCCCGAGCUCCUCCGCCCUCAGCUCUGGGGUCCCAGCUGCAGGUGUGAGACGUCGGGCGCCUGGUCCAGCAGCGGGACCUCCCUGAGGCUGGCUAACUUGGCUCCUGCUGGAGGCUCAGCGCGUAGGCGGCUGGAGCCCAGAGUCCUUCUCAUGUGGGUCUGAGCCCCCCUCAACCCCUCUUCCGGGCCUGCAUCUUUGCUUCGUGCAGGAGCUGCCAGAUGUCAAACUGCUCCUUCUCCUGUGGCUUUGGGAUCCAGGCAAAUGUCCAUGAAGGGGAGGCUUGUAACUGCGGGGACGCAGCAUGAAUACGUGGCCCGGGGUCCGGUUGCGGGCGAGUACGGUGAGUGACUUGAAAUGACUCUCCCGGGAGCUGGUUGUCAAAUUUCUGGUGUGUUCAGGAAAUGUCUGCCACCUUUUAUAUCCACAUAUUCAAACUGCAAGUGAGUGAAGUGGUGUAUGGUAACGAGUGAGUGAAAUGGAUGGAUGGACGUGCCAACGGGAACAAGCCUGGGUCACAGCAGCAACUCGUUUGUGAAUUAAGAAACAAAAAAUUCCUUGGUGUGGAGCCACUGUGCCCGGGGCUGGACUGCCAAGACCCGAUGCCAGGCGUAGCCACGCUGCCUGGAGGACUUCUCAGUGCAGACUGGGAAGGGCUGAGGGCCUCCUGGCUUUCUGCCAUCACUCAUAUGGUGGAAGGGCCAUAGGAGUGGAAGGGUGGAAGUCAAUCAAAAUGACUUAAAUAUGCCUCUAGUUGCUCCCUGACUCAGUCCUGGGGUUUGUUACUCAAGGUUCGAAGUAUCUAUGUUACCCUCAUCAGGACUCCCUGAUGCUUAGGGUCCUGCAAACUCACUUCCUCCCCCAGGGGCUCUGCCCCAGCUGGGAUCCAUGUCUGUUAUUCCAUCUUGUUCAGCCAGCGAAGGCCCUCGCUCCCCAACCUGCAUUUGCUUUCCCCAUAAAUCCCCCUGCCAUGUUUCCAAGAAAAGACACGACAGCCAGACCCCGCAAGACAACUUGCUCGACAUGAUGCAGCUCUGAAGAGCAGAGCAGGCUUUUGGUGCCAUACCAGUGGUUGUCAAAGUGGGCUUCCCUGGAACAGCAGCAGCAGCGGCACCUGGGAUCCCGUUAGAAAUGUAAGUUCUCAGGCCCCACCCCAGACCUUCCAAAACAGAAAACGCGCAUGAGAGUCGAACCAAAACGCGGCAGGGCCCGUUGGGAACGCCCCCUCCAGACAACCACUCUUCUCCACCAAGCUCCGGGUCCCGCCACGUGUGUUAUUUCAGCCACUAGCCUGUAAGCUCCCUGGAGGCAGGACUUCUGCCUUCAUCUCCGAGCCAGGCACUGUGUGAAAGCUAAGAGUAACAGCGGAUGAUUGAACUCUCAUAGGUGGGUGUCUGUCUCGUGCAGUCCUAGGAGGCAGCCUCGGAGGCAGGUACGGUGACCACCUGCUUCUUACAGGUGGGGAGCAGAGGGGUGGAGCAGCUUGCUCAGAAGCCAAAGGACUGCGUGUGGAAGCCGGGAGGUGACCCUAGGAUCCGAGCAAGCUCUUCCUCCCCAGGCCCUCCUGCUCCCCACACACGUAUUGAAUUGACCCUCUCACCACCUGGACCCUUCCACAUAACAUGGGGGAAAAUCCUAAAAUACAAAAGAACUGCCGUACAGAGCAGCCUAGGGGGAUAGGGAAGAUUUGCAUUUCUCGCAGAAAGGAAGGCAUAACUUUCUUAGGGAAGCAAAACCGAAUUAUUACGGCCCUUUAAUUUCAUUCCUCACAGAUCCAGUUAUCUUGACCUCAGAUUCAGAGAUGGUGCCAAAUCCACCGGGGACUGUUGAUUCCUAAGACACCUGAACGCCUUGAAUUCCUACACCAGAAGGUGCCGGCCUCCAGGGCAUCAGCGGAAGUGGGUGGGGGGGUCAAGGGUCUAAGGGUUAGGGCUCCGGUACAAGCAGACCUCAGAGAGAUUGCGGGUUCAGGUCCAGACCACUACAAAAAAUCAAAUAUCGCACAAAGGGCAAGUGACACGAAUUUUUUGCUUUCCCAGUGCAUAGGAAAAGCUAUAUUUCCUUUAGUCUAUUAGGUGUGCCACAGCAUUAUGUCAUAAAAAUAGCAUACACACUUCAAUUUAAAAACACUUCAUUGUGGAAAAAAAAGCACACACCGUCCUGUGACAGCACGGAGUUGCCACAAACCUUUCGUUUGUGAAAAGCGCCAUACCUGUGAAGCAAUGGAAAGAGUUCAGCCUGCAAACCACCUGGUCCAGGUCACGACUGUGCUGCUUAGAAUGCGUGCACCACGUUGGCCAUAAGCCACUUAGGCUGUCGGGGCCUCCGUCCCUUCGUCUGCAAAGCGGGGCUCACGGUCACGGCCCUUUGACUCGUGCUGCGCGGAGGAGCCGGUGCCCCGGGAGCCCUGCGUUCUGUGCUCCGCCGGGGGCGCGCGGCGGGGCCGGGGGGCGCUGAGGAGGUGCCCACCCACCCCGUCUUGAUGUCCAGAGAUUCGUCCCCAGAACGCAUGGGUGUGAUGUCUCAUCGCUCGCGACAGCACUCAGGCCGGAUCCUCUGAGCCUGGAAACCAGUUCAGGGCCCUUUUGUACCCGGAACUUUCUAAAGAGAAAGCGCCCCGAUCCAGGGGACGCCGCGGGUCCCCGCAGGACGCGGUGCUGUUUUGCAUCGCAGCCCUCAAGAGAGGGGCCUUUCUCAGCCUGGACGUACGGAACCCCAUUUCGAUAUCGCCUCCCCCCACCUCCUUCUCCCUGAUCCCUCUUCGGGCACCAAAGCGCUUUCUAGAAUGUCUUCACUGCUCAUGUGACGCCGGUACGCAAAGCCCCAGCCCAAAGGAAUUGAGAGCAACCCCGGUCCGCCAGGUUUUGCUCGUGUCCCGGGGCCACCCGAAGCGAAGCGGGGACACAGCCUCGAGGCGGGGCGCCUGUGUGCGUAACCGCUGCCUGAGGAAGACGGGGAGCCUGUUGCAAACGAGGGGGUGAUGAGGAGUCCCACGGACCUGUUCCUGUCACGACGUCCCGUCUGGGUCGACGACAUCAAACCGCUUUCUGCGUGGAUGUGGCCCCGAAUAGAGUCCCUUCCCCUUUGUUAGAGAGCUUCAACAAAACACGACCAAAAAAAUUUCUUUAAAAAGAAGAAAAAAGAGGAAAACAGAACAAUGGAAGCCAAGCCCACCCACGUGGCUCUCCUGAGUGAGGCUGCUGGCCCCCCCGACGGCAUCUCCUGCAGGUCUUGCGACCACAUCUAGGGAGGGGUUUCCUUACAGGGAAAGAGCCUGGAGGCUUUGUUGUGGAUGCAGGGCUUUAGGCCUCAGCAGUUGGGCAGCUGAGGAAGAGUCCCCAGACCUGGUGUUCUGUCUGAGAGCUAAGGCUCAGAGCAGACGAAGUACCUGGAACACGACUCUGGAGCAUGUCUAAUGAGCAGCUUUUUCAUCUGUGAUGCAGGUUUGGCAGCAUCUCCUUUGAACCCUGCCAAAACGAGGAUGACUGGUGGGUCCCUGGAAGGACAGCACGC
ensembl:lncRNA